UGUAAAAUAUUAAUAUAAACAAACUCAAUCUUAUUAAAAAUAUUAAUAAAAAUAUCAAUUUUAAUAAAAAUAUCAUUAUAACAUUUAUUAUAGGUGAUAAAACUGGUCAACCUAACCUGUUUAACCGUGACCUGGUCUCUCAAAAGAGUGAUGCUCCCUCCAUCACCCAUCUUCUCCCUACUCCUCCUUUUUUUUUUUUAAUUCCAAAUUUAUCUUUUUUACUUUUUACUUUUACCCAUUUAACUUUUUAUUUUUUAAAACCUUAAUCUCAAUAUCAUUUCCCUUUCACUCUCAGCAAGCCUUCACCCCUGUCACUUUCUCUCUUUCUCUUAAUUUUCAUUUCAGUUAAUACAACAUUUUCCAUUUCCGUUUCUCUUUUCUUUCUUCUCCCCACAUAACUUAUCAUUUCUUUUUCAAAUAAUCUCAAUAAUCAACCAUCUACACGUAAUUAAGCUAUGAAAUAUAUAUCAUCCUCUUAGUUGAGUUUUCACUGGUUGUGUUUGAUAAAGUCUAAAUUCCUUCCCUACAUGGGCCUUCAUGUGAUCCCUUAAAAUGGGGAAUACAACAAUGCUGCUACUACCUAAUUUCUUGUAAGGUUAAUAUUAUUAUUAUAACAGGUUUUGAUUAUACCAGUUAUUGCACUACCUGAAAGUUCCUUAUUAUAAAUUAGGCUUAAAUACCUAUUUAAUCCCCAAGUUUGGGGCUGAAUUUCCGUUUGGUACCCGGUUUUAAAAGUGAUUUAAUUAGGUUCCCAAGUUGUUUAUUUUGCUUGCAAUAGGUCCCUUCCGUUAAGUAGCUUGUAACGACGUUAAUUUUUCUUCUCUCUCCUCUCUUAUUCCUGACACAUCUUUCUCUCCCUCUUAUUUCUUUUCUCUCUCUCACCAUUACAACAUCAUUGUAACUAUCUCUCUCCCACCUUUUUCUCUCUCUUCUAUUUCUCUCAAUCAUCAUUAUAACUACCUCUGACCUUUUUCUCUCUCACCUUUUUCAUCUCUUCACUAUUUCAUUUCUCUCUCUCUUCUUCUUCUUCUUCUUUCAUUCUUUUCUAUUUUUUUUACUGCAAAUGUAUAGAUAUUGCCUUUAAGUCUCAUGAAAGAAGGCUGGCC
rnacentral:lncRNA from 1 species